GGUUCUAUGGUGUAGCGGUUAGCACUCAAGACUUUGAAUCCUGCGACCCGAGUUAAAAUCUCGGUGGAACCA
rfam:Caenorhabditis briggsae complete genome, chrX